ACAACUACAGCUGCUCCAACUACAACAACCACAGCUGCUCUGACAACAAUAACCACAGCUGCUCCAACAACAACGACAGCCGCCCCAAUAUCAUCAACGACUGCAGCUCCAACAACCACCGCUGCUCCAACUACAACCACAGCCGUCCAAACAACAACAACCACAGCUGCAGCAACCUCAACACCUGACCCUGUUACCUAUGUCAUUUCAGCAACAUUGCAAAAUGAGAUCUUUACAGAUGAGUUGCUAAAUCGCACGAGCCCUCGAUUCAGAGAGCUUUCAGGAAAAGUUACAGCUCGUUGUAAUCAAAUAUAUCGAGCAAGAUUUGGUUCAGACUUUGACCAGUGCAUUGUGAGACAAUUCAGGGCUGCUCCAGCUCAACAAACACGAGUGGAUGGAACUGUGGUAGAGUUUUCAGUUGUGUUCAAUCAGUCUGUCCCCAGUUCAGCACUCCCAAUGAAUACUGCUGUUGCUCAAACCUUAGUUGAUGCUGCAAAUGAUUCAAACACCUUCAAUGUGACCUUUGGCGCCUCUUCAGUUGCAUUAAUAUCGGGUCCUGUUCCUGCAACUACAACUGCUGCGACAACAGCUGUAACUACAAUUGCUACAACAACUGCUGCAAUGACAACUGCUGCAACAGCAACAGCUGUAACUCCAACUGCUGCAACAACAACAGCUGUAACUACAAUUGCAGGAACGACAAACAACACUUCCUUCAGAUCUUUUAAUCCAUGGAUCACUUUAAUGCUGCUUAUGUUAGCCUAUGUUACACUAAUUUAAUAAAUUUUUAACAAUAACAAUUAUUCUACUGGGAUAGAUUCUUCUAGGAUAUAUAUCAUAUAUAUACUGUUUUAUACACAGUUUCAGAAGCUGUAUAUACUAUUGGUUAUUUCAAAAAGUCUUUCACAACUUUUAAUUUAAUUGGAUGACCCCCACAGAAACCGUGUAACCCAUGUACAUUGUUAUUUACUCUGUUGCACAAACACAAAAAGUGUUGUAUGGUUUUGAAUAAAUGUGCACAUUUAACUUUGGAUCGACUGAACACAUUGAUGACAGUGUAUUAAUAUGGCUGUCGAACCAAACACAUUUGUGCCAGUGAACGCUGAGGCUCUUGAGCUGGACAGAAAGACACAAUAUAAAAUAAAUAAAAUAAAUUUUAUUUAAAAUAAAUGAAAUAAAAGCAUCAUUGCACAAUUAAUGUUUGCCCGCUUUUGUUAGUCUUUCAAAAGACCAUUAAAUAUGCUGGGUUUUCUUUUUACAUUUAAAAUAAUUUAAAACACUUUGUAGUUACGCUUUAAGUUCACUUGAUAGCAUAACAGCAUAACAUAGCAUGGCAAAAAACACUUCCACAGAGAGCAUACUGUAAAGGGAACAAAUAAAGGAACACAUGUAACUAGUGGACUGCACACCCCAACAAUGAACCAAUGCCUGAAGUGUAAUCAAGGGUCAUGGUAUACAUGAUAUAUAUGUCAUAACAAUACACUUUCAAUUUUCUUGUUAAUGCAAACUGUAUUUAUUUAAUUGUUCAUAGCUGUAUUCUGUGAGAUUUCUUAUGCUAUUAAUACUUUCUGUCAAUAAGGUUAAAAUGAUCAGAAUACAAAAUAUUUAAAGAACUUAAAUUGUCUCUUGUGUCAUGUCUUCCAGUCUUGGUGGGUGAAAAAAAAUGCAUGUUUUAUGUUUUUACUUUUUAAGUUUCUCAAAAGUUGUUCCCAUUGUAAUGGAAUGAACAUGUAUGUUAAUUCAACACAUGCACAGAAAUCUUUUAAGUAUAAGCAUGUUCAUCAUAUUGGCAGAAAAGAGAAAACAGGCAGAUGAAAUUCCGUUAAAUUAAAUCAGAGUGGCAUGUCACCAACAGAAAAUGGUACUGGUGGUAGAGCCAUUGCGGGGCAUGAUUUGUAGCUCUGAAUUCUAUAUUGUUUAUUGGUUUAUUUUACUGUGGGGUCUUUAAUGGUCAUGUUAGUAGUGGCAUCAUUCUCUCAUGAACUUAUUGAACCCUGGCUGACAUGCACUGGCUGGUGGUAGUGGUGAGUAUGGUCGAGUGCAAAGAAGAGGCUGCUUGCUUCAUACACUGGAGGAGAAAAGGCAAACAACUUGCCAGCAUGAUUAAGAACAUGAAUUUGAAAUGACUC